UACGUAGGGGGCAAGCGUUAUCCGGAUUUACUGGGUGUAAAGGGAGCGCAGGCGGCACGGCAAGCCUGAUGUGAAAGCCCGCGGCCCAACCGCGGGACUGCAUUGGGAACUACCGGGCUGGAGUGCCGGAGAGGUAGGCGGAAUCCCUAGUGUAGCGGUGAAAUGCGUAGAUAUUAGGAGGAACACCAGUGGCGAAGGCGGCCUACUGGACGGUGACUGACGCUGAGGCUCGAAAGCGUGGGGAGCAAACAGG
rnacentral:rRNA from 1 species